rnacentral:tRNA from 1 species
GCGAAUGUGGUCUAACGGUUAUGACGAGCGACUGUGGCUCGCUAAAAGGGAGUUCGACUCUCCCCUUUCGCC